rfam:Phalacrocorax carbo contig95337, whole genome shotgun sequence.
GGGGAUGUAGCUCAGUGGGAGAGCACUUGCUUUGCAUGUAACAGGCCCUGGGUUCAAACCCUAGCAUCUCCA